UAUCUAUCUAAAACAAAUUUACAUGGAAGCCCAAUUCAUGAAUAGAUGAGCAUUUUUUUUCACUCAGGGCCUUUUCUCAGCCUUGUGGGAGGGGAAAAAUGCUAUUUCUGGUCCUACUCUGGUUGUUGCAAGCAUAAAAAUGUUCUUUUUUUUAAAGAAUGAACCCCACCUAUGUCUUUUGGGGUGAGCUAAGAAAUGGAAAAAAAACCAGGCCAGAAUGGGAAUAAUUCAUAAAAAAAUAUGUGGGGGCGGUUGUGGUUUCUGGAUUAAGUUUUAACACAGCAUUAAAGGGAUGUCAUGUUGUUCUUUCUUUUCCUAGAGAGGCCUCAAAGGAGCUCCUUGGCAACAGCCAAAAACCAACACAACCCACAACGUCGGCUUUGUAAACCUAGGGAGGCGCCCGUCUCUUCGCGGGGAUGAGCAGCAGAGAAAGCCAUUGCUGGUUGAGGAAGAAAAUGGGGCCUUUACCAUUGAAGACUUGGAAGAAAGUUUACGAAACCUGAAGGUUCAGGUGGACAGCUUAGCCUCCAGUCUAACUGUCCAUCCAGAUCGAGAUUACCCUUCUGCUUUGGAACACCUGGCUGACCCAAGUCCCUUAAGUUCCAAAUGGCACCCAUCAGGGCCACGCACAGAGACCAAAUGGUUACUGAAAGCAAAGCAUCUUGCGAGAUCGUUAGACGAUAACUUGAAUUUGAUGGAUUUGGCCAUUCCAACCUUAAAUUCAUCCCCACUAAAUGAAACUUCAGGAUUCUUUGGCACUGCGAGUCAGAACUCUCCUGCCUUGGGGGAUCUUUCUGCCCCAUUGAAACUCGGGGCCCCUCAUGUGAUUGGCGUCAAGUCUUUGCUGCCCCCCAAGAUUCCAGUCCGAGCUUGCUUGCCAGAAAGAUCCUCUUUCACAUUGCGCAGAGGCCGUUCGCUGAGUCACUCUGAGGUUACCCACUCCUGCUCCUUCUCUCCGGAUGCCAAACGUCCACGUUGGCUCCGAUCACGCUCUCAGUCUCCGAGGCCUAUCUGGAGACCCACCUCAGCUAAGGCUAAUGCCUGUGCCCAGCCUCCACCUCAGCUGGGGAAGCCCAGGGGAGUCAGGAAGAAAAGCAUAUCAAGCAGACAAUCGCGGUUGAGAUUCUUCAGGCCAGGAACAUUAGCAUUGAAAUCCUGGCCUUCCACUAAGGCAGUUGGACAGAGGACACCGAGGGAGCCUUGGAGUCCUUACAGUUUGGCUUCUCCUGAUCUCUCCUCGCCCACCGCAGAGGAGAUCAACGAACGCUUCCUGCAGACGCUUUCUGAAAGCACGAUGGGGAGAGACCUGAUUGAAAUGUCUCCGUACCAGAAGGAGCUGGCUCGUCUCCGACUCGAGCGCCUGCGUGUGGAAGAGGGCUGGCUGUUGGAAUUAAAGAGGCAGCAGGAACUGGAACGAACCCGUGGCCCCAGGCCCAAGUGGUGAGGCUGUGGCUUCUUUGGAUUGGGUGUUGAGAGCAGAUGCAGCAGGGCCGGGUGGAAAUCUGGUGAGAUUUGCUGGAUCCAUGAGAUUUUGGAUAUAUUAAUCCUAGGGUUCUGUGGGCAAUGUUCAUUUGUAAUCAAGCACCUUUCUCCUUCCUUCCUUGUGGUUUUUAGGUACGAAAUGAGGGACUCUCAAUUCCACUACGAAGCUCACAAGAACAACAAACUUCUGAGAAGCAGCCCAGAGAUACAGUCGGUCUUUGAUUAUAGGGAGGCGCUAUCAAGAGCAUCAGAAGACUUCCAGCAGCAACAGAAGCCCAUUUGCACCUCCCUCAAGGCCUACUGGUAAAGAGCCAAAGGAGACAUUGGGCAUCAGAAGAGAUAGAAGAAAGGCAGGUCAGGAUGAGCAGGGCCUUCCUCUGUUCCCAGUGAAUGAUGGUCUGUUUGGGGGAGGAUGGUGGUGCGAUUCUGAGUGCCCAGCCCAGUCAUUUUUAUGCCUUGAUUGCUCAGAGCUGAUUUAAACUUUGAGAAGUGCUACAGGACAUGGUCUCUUUAGUUUAGUGGAAUGAAAUGAAAUGAGCAAAAAUUCCUUACUAGAGAAAAAGGUAACCGGAUAUCCUGAUUUACUGGGAGAACUGCGCAAAACAUGGGACAUCUCUGUGUCAAAGGCAGUGUGGGUUGUUUAUGGCUUGGUGUGUGCAGAUUUGAUGUGUGUGCGUGUGCCUUUUUUUGACACCUGAAUUUGAUUGUUAUUGCCUGCAGUCUCAAACUAGUUCAGCAAAGGACGCUCACUCUUGAUUUUCCCUCAUUUGCUUUAACUUUUUGAUUAGGAGAGCACUGAAUUAAAAAAAACCCUGAUUACUAAUCAAGAAAAUCUUCUUUGGCUCAAACAAAAAAAGAUAAAUAUUACACUAGAAGAAAAAAAACUGAGCAUGUGCGUUUUCCAUCUUUUAUAGAAUGCUUUUAUAUUUGGUUGCUCUCGUAUUUCAACGUAGUGGUAGUUUUUAAUAUUUUUUUGAGGUUCAUUUAAUUCUUAGACUUGCAAAGAGAAGAUAUCUAACCUGUUAUUGAUUUGCCAGAGGGGUUCUAGAUGUACACAUCUCUUUUAUUGAAGCACUCUUUUUAUGGCUGUCUCACAAGCAUUUUGGUAUCGUCCUUGAUGAGUAACUGCAGAAACCUAUCUUACGUGGAAUAAAUCCAACCAAGGAAUUAAAACCAUCCCGCUAUUAAC
ensembl:lncRNA